rnacentral:rRNA from 1 species
UACGUAGGGGGCAAGCGUUGUCCGGAUUUACUGGGCGUAAAGAGCUCGUAGGCGGUCUGUCGCGUCUGCUGUGAAAACUCGGGGCUUAACCCCGGGCCUGCAGUGGGUACGGGCAGACUAGAGUGCGGUAGGGGAGACUGGAAUUCCUGGUGUAGCGGUGAAAUGCGCAGAUAUCGGGAGGAACACCCGUAGCGAAGGCGGCACUCUGGGCCGGUACUGGACGCUGAGGAGCGAAAGCGUGGGGAGCAAACAGG